GGUUAAGCGACUAAGCGUACACGGUGGAUGCCCUGGCAGUCAGAGGCGAUGAAGGACGUGCUAAUCUGCGAUAAGCGUCGGUAAGGUGAUAUGAACCGUUAUAACCGGCGAUUUCCGAAUGGGGAAACCCAGUGUGUUUCGACACACUAUCAUUAACUGAAUCCAUAGGUUAAUGAGGCGAACCGGGGGAACUGAAACAUCUAAGUACCCCGAGGAAAAGAAAUCAACCGAGAUUCCCCCAGUAGCGGCGAGCGAACGGGGAGGAGCCCAGAGCCUGAAUCAGUGUGUGUGUUAGUGGAAGCGUCUGGAAAGGCGCGCGAUACAGGGUGACAGCCCCGUACACAAAAAUGCACAUGCUGUGAGCUCGAUGAGUAGGGCGGGACACGUGGUAUCCUGUCUGAAUAUGGGGGGACCAUCCUCCAAGGCUAAAUACUCCUGACUGACCGAUAGUGAACCAGUACCGUGAGGGAAAGGCGAAAAGAACCCCGGCGAGGGGAGUGAAAAAGAACCUGAAACCGUGUACGUACAAGCAGUGGGAGCCUCUUUAUGGGGUGACUGCGUACCUUUUGUAUAAUGGGUCAGCGACUUAUAUUCUGUAGCAAGGUUAACCGAAUAGGGGAGCCGAAGGGAAACCGAGUCUUAACUGGGCGUUAAGUUGCAGGGUAUAGACCCGAAACCCGGUGAUCUAGCCAUGGGCAGGUUGAAGGUUGGGUAACACUAACUGGAGGACCGAACCGACUAAUGUUGAAAAAUUAGCGGAUGACUUGUGGCUGGGGGUGAAAGGCCAAUCAAACCGGGAGAUAGCUGGUUCUCCCCGAAAGCUAUUUAGGUAGCGCCUCGUGAACUCAUCUCCGGGGGUAGAGCACUGUUUCGGCAAGGGGGUCAUCCCGACUUACCAACCCGAUGCAAACUGCGAAUACCGGAGAAUGUUAUCACGGGAGACACACGGCGGGUGCUAACGUCCGUCGUGAAGAGGGAAACAACCCAGACCGCCAGCUAAGGUCCCAAAGUCAUGGUUAAGUGGGAAACGAUGUGGGAAGGCCCAGACAGCCAGGAUGUUGGCUUAGAAGCAGCCAUCAUUUAAAGAAAGCGUAAUAGCUCACUGGUCGAGUCGGCCUGCGCGGAAGAUGUAACGGGGCUAAACCAUGCACCGAAGCUGCGGCAGCGACGCUUAUGCGUUGUUGGGUAGGGGAGCGUUCUGUAAGCCUGUGAAGGUGUGCUGUGAGGCAUGCUGGAGGUAUCAGAAGUGCGAAUGCUGACAUAAGUAACGAUAAAGCGGGUGAAAAGCCCGCUCGCCGGAAGACCAAGGGUUCCUGUCCAACGUUAAUCGGGGCAGGGUGAGUCGACCCCUAAGGCGAGGCCGAAAGGCGUAGUCGAUGGGAAACAGGUUAAUAUUCCUGUACUUGGUGUUACUGCGAAGGGGGGACGGAGAAGGCUAUGUUGGCCGGGCGACGGUUGUCCCGGUUUAAGCGUGUAGGCUGGUUUUCCAGGCAAAUCCGGAAAAUCAAGGCUGAGGCGUGAUGACGAGGCACUACGGUGCUGAAGCAACAAAUGCCCUGCUUCCAGGAAAAGCCUCUAAGCAUCAGGUAACAUCAAAUCGUACCCCAAACCGACACAGGUGGUCAGGUAGAGAAUACCAAGGCGCUUGAGAGAACUCGGGUGAAGGAACUAGGCAAAAUGGUGCCGUAACUUCGGGAGAAGGCACGCUGAUAUGUAGGUGAAGCGACUUGCUCGUGGAGCUGAAAUCAGUCGAAGAUACCAGCUGGCUGCAACUGUUUAUUAAAAACACAGCACUGUGCAAACACGAAAGUGGACGUAUACGGUGUGACGCCUGCCCGGUGCCGGAAGGUUAAUUGAUGGGGUCAGCGCAAGCGAAGCUCUUGAUCGAAGCCCCGGUAAACGGCGGCCGUAACUAUAACGGUCCUAAGGUAGCGAAAUUCCUUGUCGGGUAAGUUCCGACCUGCACGAAUGGCGUAAUGAUGGCCAGGCUGUCUCCACCCGAGACUCAGUGAAAUUGAACUCGCUGUGAAGAUGCAGUGUACCCGCGGCAAGACGGAAAGACCCCGUGAACCUUUACUAUAGCUUGACACUGAACAUUGAGCCUUGAUGUGUAGGAUAGGUGGGAGGCUUUGAAGUGUGGACGCCAGUCUGCAUGGAGCCGACCUUGAAAUACCACCCUUUAAUGUUUGAUGUUCUAACGUUGACCCGUGAUCCGGGUUGCGGACAGUGUCUGGUGGGUAGUUUGACUGGGGCGGUCUCCUCCUAAAGAGUAACGGAGGAGCACGAAGGUUGGCUAAUCCUGGUCGGACAUCAGGAGGUUAGUGCAAUGGCAUAAGCCAGCUUGACUGCGAGCGUGACGGCGCGAGCAGGUGCGAAAGCAGGUCAUAGUGAUCCGGUGGUUCUGAAUGGAAGGGCCAUCGCUCAACGGAUAAAAGGUACUCCGGGGAUAACAGGCUGAUACCGCCCAAGAGUUCAUAUCGACGGCGGUGUUUGGCACCUCGAUGUCGGCUCAUCACAUCCUGGGGCUGAAGUAGGUCCCAAGGGUAUGGCUGUUCGCCAUUUAAAGUGGUACGCGAGCUGGGUUUAGAACGUCGUGAGACAGUUCGGUCCCUAUCUGCCGUGGGCGCUGGAGAACUGAGGGGGGCUGCUCCUAGUACGAGAGGACCGGAGUGGACGCAUCACUGGUGUUCGGGUUGUCAUGCCAAUGGCACUGCCCGGUAGCUAAAUGCGGAAGAGAUAAGUGCUGAAAGCAUCUAAGCACGAAACUUGCCCCGAGAUGAGUUCUCCCUGAC
rnacentral:rRNA from 1 species